rnacentral:rRNA from 1 species
UUGCACUAGAAAAACUUAGCGGCGAAGCGGGUGAGUAACACGUAAAGAACCUGCCUCAUAGACGGGGACAACUAUUGGAAACGAUAGCUAAUACCGGAUAACAGCAUAAAUCGCAUGAUAUAUGUUUAAAAGUUGGUUUCGGCUAACACUAUGAGAUGGCUUUGCGGUGCAUUAGCUAGUUGGUGGGGUAAAGGCCUACCAAGGCGACGAUGCAUAGCCGACCUGAGAGGGUGAUCGGCCACACUGGGACUGAGACACGGCCCAGACUCCUACGGGAGGCAGCAGUAGGGAAUCUUCCGCAAUGGGCGAAAGCCUGACGGAGCAACGCCGCGUGAGUGAAGAAGGAUUUCGGUUCGUAAAGCUCUGUUGUUAGGGAAGAAUGAUUGUAUAGUAACUAUAUACAGUAGAGACGGUACCUAACCAGAAAGCCACGGCUAACUACGUGCCAGCAGCCGCGGUAAUACGUAGGUGGCAAGCGUUGUCCGGAAUUAUUGGGCGUAAAGCGCGCGCAGGUGGUUUAAUAAGUCUGAUGUGAAGCCCACGGCUCAACCGUGGAGGGUCAUUGGAAACUGUUAAACUUGAGUGCAGGAGAGAAAGUGGAUUCCUAGUGUAGCGGUGAAUGGUAGAGAUUAGGAGG